rnacentral:tRNA from 1 species
GAAGUUGUAGCUCAGUUGUAGAGCGCUUGCCUAGAAUGUGUGAGACACUGAGUUUGAUUCUCAGCAUCA